rnacentral:rRNA from 1 species
AGAGUUUGAUCCUGGCUCAGAACGAACGCUGGCGGCAUGCCUAACACAUGCAAGUCGAACGAGACCUUCGGGUCUAGUGGCGCACGGGUGCGUAACGCGUGGGAAUCUGCCCUUGGGUUCGGAAUAACAGCUAGAAAUGGCUGCUAAUACCGAAUAAUGACGUAAGUCCAAAGAUUUAUCGCCCAAGGAUGAGCCCGCGUAGGAUUAGCUAGUUGGUGAGGUAAAAGCUCACCAAGGCGACGAUCCUUAGCUGGUCUGAGAGGAUGAUCAGCCACACUGGGACUGAGACACGGCCCAGACUCCUACGGGAGGCAGCAGUGGGG